AUGACCCGGUCCUCUCUCCUCCUCACCCUUCUCAUUCACUGCACAGGCUCCUGGGCCCAGUCGGUGCUGACGCAGCCGCCCUCAGUGUCUGCGGACCCAGGACAGAGGGUCACCAUCUCCUGCUCUGGAAGCAGCUCCAACAUCGGGAGGUAUUAUGCAUCCUGCUACCAGCAGCUCCCAGGAGCAGCCCCCAAACUCCUCAUCUAUGACGUUAAUAAGCGACCCUUAGGGGUCCUUGACCGAUUCUCUGGCUCCCAGUCUGGCACCUCUGCCACCCUGGGCAUCACUGGACUCCGGCCUGAGGAUGAGGCCGAUUAUUACUGCUUAGCAUGGGAUAACAGUCUGAGUGCUCACAUGGUGCUUCAGGCCAAUGGGGAACUGAGACAAGAACCCCCUUCCUCCUCUGCCAGGAGGGUGAGUGCCUGCAGCUGCUGCUCACGCCUGACCUGUAGCUUCUGCUGCUGCAGCUCCCCCA